UUCAAACCUCGAUGCAAUCAAAACACUACCCUCACAAAUCCCUCCGAUCCUAUCAACAAACGGUCUCUUUCUCUCUCUCUCUAGCUCUCUGAGAUCUUCGUCUAAAAUUCACAACCCUCUCUCUCUAGAAUUCGCAUUCUUGCUGUGAUUCGAUUCCAUGGAAGAUCAAGCGGUGGAAAUGUUCCCCAAAACUGCAAAGACUUCGUUCCAAAUCAUGACUCCAAGCCCUCUUCGACCUCUGAGCAGGUUCCUUUUGUUUUAUUUUAUUCAAUUUGCCCACUUUUUAAUUUUUUGAAUUACAAGAAAGUGUUGAAUUUGAGGUUCGGAUUCGAUUAUUACUGCUUCUUAUAGUUUUAAUUUUGUUUCCGGUCCAAGAAAAUGUAGAAUCGGGAAAAUUUCCGACUCAAUUUCAUCCCUCUUUUUUUUGAGUUAGAACUUAAAACCCGAUUACAACACGGUUGGACAGUGACGUAAGCGACAAAGAAUGUACUCCUGAUAGUCUGAUUAUAUUAUUGGUGAGAGUAGCACGUCGAACGGAACUCAACAAGGUUCUCCAUGUCAGAUGGUCCUUCCAGUUUUCCAGAUGAUCUCAACUGGCGUAUCAGGAUAGGUUUAAGGACCGGGAAUCUUCAGGUGUUGAGAUUGUGCCGGUAUUAUCACAACCCCAUGGCUGUUGGACGGGACAAAGUGGUUAUAUGUGCAGGCUGGUUUUUCCAGAGCCAAGCAAAUUUAUAAUCCUCUCUCUCCACAGCUGCUGUGCUGUGUUAUGCGGGCAGAAGCAGAUGACUGAGGUAUCCUUACUGUUCUCGUUCACAUUUCUCAGUUUGCUUUUGUUACAUUUGUUGUCGUUAUAUUUCAAGUAUGCGUGUACUUGUUUAUUUGACAAUUGGGUUCGUAUGAGAUCAUUUGGCUGAAUGUCGAUGUACAAGUUUGGUUAUGGCCGGACCGGCUGAAUCCCUUUUGUCAUUUUGCUUGCUCAAAGUUGAACAUGGGAUUGAAGAUAGAUAUUGUUCUGUGAAUAUAUAACUUCGAAAUCGGACAAGAACCUAUUCUCAGUGGCGGAUCCAGGAAAUAAUGUUUGGGGGGUUAAUAAGGAUAGCGCGCGCAGCGCGCAAUUUUUUUUUAACAGAAACGGCAUGCAUAUCGUCAUUUCAUACCUGGAGGAAGAAGCUAUGGGCGUGGACGUGUUUCAGAUAUUUACCGACUAGGUGACUCCCUUUGUUACGUUUACAAACAAAUAUUCUCCUCUUAUUGUACAUUGAUGAACUGUAUUGGUGGCUAUACGACCAUCAUCAGUUCACAUGAAUAAGCAUAUUGUUUGGAUUUCUGUCGUCAUAUCCUAUCUACCAUCGAGACAUCUUCGACUUCAGCAAACCUCGGUGCAAACGCAUAAGAAUAUUAUGCUGCCAUCUUGGUCUUCUUCCUCUAGUUUCCUGCCCUUCUUUGGCCGCAGAAUUUUGUACUCGGGUUUAAAAUCCUUGUUCAAAGGUCCUGAACGUUCAAACCUGGAGGAAGAGAUUGCUUCAACUUGUCGGCCUUCUCGAAAUCAAACACACAAAGUGUGUAAAGGUACUUGGAGCACCGAACCUUGAACUUGACAGCAUCCUUGGUUCUUUCAGACCUUUCGUCGAACACUUGGUGUGCAGCCAAGGGGUCUCACCAACAGCUCCAAGGGGUCGCACCAGCAGCUCCAAUGGGUCUCUACGGUUGUUUCCAUGGCUUCCAAGGGGUCGUGUGACCCCAUUGACCCCACUGUGGAUCCGCCACUGCCUAUUCUUGAGUCUUGACGCCACUGUGGAUCCGCCACCGCCACUGCCAGACAAGGUGCUACCAUUGACUUGUUUACUAGUUUAACUCACAGUUUAGGUGUAAAUAAUUUGUUGCAACAUCACUUAUUGUAGUCUUCACCCCGGGGCCGAUUUUUGGCCUCUAGGGUUCCUCAUCAAUAAGAAUUUUGCUCUAGGGUUAUUCUAAGUUUAAGUAGUAAAUAUAUCUGAAAAUGCCGCACGCUUUAAUGGUCUUGGACGAAGCCAUUUUUUCUUAAGGAAGCAAAGCUGCAAGGCGCACGUUGGAGGGAAGGUUUCUUCAUUGGAUGAUGUUGAGGUCAUUCUAUUUAUGUGAAAAAGGUGACAUAUUCAUACUUGCAUGAUAGGUGUAAACAAAGAAAAAGAAAUAUGAGUUUUUGGUUUUGUUCUCAUGCUUUAGGAUUUGAAGAGAGAGCCUUGUCUGAUGAAGUCAAGCUCAUUACAAAUUCCUUUUCGGACCCUGCAGUUCUAAACACCUUUCAGCUGCUAAGUGAGCCUUUUAUUUUAAUUACUCUCAAUUACUUUCGAACUUUCCUUCUCUUUUUAAUUGUAAUUUGUUGUUUCUGGAUUUACAAAUGCCGAAGCUUCAUCCGAAUUGCCCUAGUAUGCCUUCUGAAAACUCACUUUAUAACUGCUACUUGUUGUGACUAUGCUUAGAAACAUGCAUAGGAGUUAACUGCUAGAUAAACAAGAUCAUGAAUGAUCUUAGAGACUUAGCAAUUCAAUGAUAGGCUAGGAACCCAUAUCUGCUAGUCUGCUUUGACUGUACUCUGCGUGAAAUUUGAUUGCAUUGAACUGCUUAAAUUUUUUGCAAUAUGAUAGUCUUAGAACUGCUGUGGUUGAUGUGAAUGAAUGAAUUGCUGCUGGAUGCAGGAUCCAAUUUUUCUUUAUUUGCCUUGCACGUCUUAGAUGAAAUAGGGCCGCCUUGUAUGUCUUGAUUGCAACCUGCAAAAGGCCAAAGUUUUUCAAUCAAUAACCUGUUUUUAUCAACUCAGUUUUUCACAAUAGAAGUUUCUCCAAGCAAAAAUUUACUUUGAAAAGAUAAGAAUUUUAUCCAACAAAACAAAUACUUUUUCGAAUUAAAAACACACCUAGGCAAACAAAAAUUUUAUUGCAAACAAGGAUUUUCAACUAGUAUUAUUGAAAGAAAGCAAAACUCAAAGCGAAAUGUAUUUUUGUUGGAUUUUUUUUCAAAGUGUUAAGAAAGUUGGGCUGCCUUCCAAUAAACGCUUUAUUUAUUAUGUCUAUAGUUAGACAUGGUAGAAGUCUGAUGGUCAACUGAUUAGUUUUUUCAGAGUCAUUGACUCAUGUGUGACAUCGUAUGAUGACUGCAAGUAUGGUUUCAGCUUGUGAUCAUUCACUUUGAAUGUGUUACCACUUUACUCAGUGUUGCUCGUUCCAACCGGACUUCAACUUCUAUGGAAACAACUUAAACCUUAAUUUAAACUACAACACUUUUUGCCCUGGUUGAAACUCUUUUCUAAAUUUGAUUGUCAUGAAACCCCUUAGUUUUCUCCUUGUAGAUCUUUGCACUUUCAAUAUGCCUCAUUACGAAUUUUGUCUAGCUUGUUGAGUUGCAGUUUACGCUUAUCACUAGCAGAAUCAUAGGCGAAAUUUAGCUGUUUGAUAGCCCAGUAAACCUUAUACUCAAGCUCCAUAGGUAGAUGACACGCUUUCCCACAAAUGAACUAAAAAGGAAACAUCCCAAUCAGAGUUUUAUACGUUGUUCUCUAAGCUUAUAGAGCAUCGUUUAAUUUCAGAUUCCAGUCCUUGCAAGUGAAGUAGGAUGCGCUUUAUCUCUUUGUUGGAGUCUUCAAUGUGCCUAGAUGUCUGAGGAUGAUAUGCAGUGGCUACACAAUGGGUUAUCCCAUAUUUCUCAAGGAGUGCAACAAAAGGCUUAUCCAAGAAGUGCUUACCUUCAUCGAUGAUAAUAGCUCUUGGAAUAUUGAAAUGCAGAUAAAUCAUACCUUGGAGGAAGUUCAGGACCACUGACCUUUUGUUAGUAGGUGUUCUAAUUGCCUAGAACCACUUAGAAACGUAUCAUAUAGCCACAAGAAUGUAUUGGUCCCCAUGGGAUGAUGGGAAUGGUCCCAUGAAAUCAAUGCUCCAAACAUCAAAUAAUUCAACAACCAGAAUACUCUGUUGCGACAUCUCAUUCUGCUUAGACUGAAUGCUCACUUGUGGACAACGAUCACAAGCUUGACACCAAUUAUUUGCAUCUUUGAAAAGUGAAGUCCAAAACAACUCACUUUGCAAAAUCUUAGUCGCUAUCCUCUUCGGCUCAAAGUGACCAAACGGCUCAAAGUGACCAAACGUAUAGUGAUGGGCAAAUUUCAAAAUAUGGUGUUAACAUUGUGCGCUUUUAGGCGCACACAAUGGCGCAUACCAAAGAAAAGACCUAAGAGCAUAAGGCUCAAGGAGUUCAUAGAAGGCCGCCCCGAGCACUCGAGUUGGCUGAGACAAAAAUGGAGUUUCCCUCGAUUGCAUGGAACACGUGAGCAAACUGACAGCUUUAUAGCAAAAGCCUCCAAGGGCAUAACGACUCAAGUGCCAUUUGGAUUAUGCGGUGGCUCGUAGUAAGCAAGAUGCUUAGUAUGAGACGUAAAGGUAGUCAAGAUAAUGCUCGACGAGAAGUGGCAGAGUAAUUAAGGUUUGAGUGAGAUGCUUGGCUCAUUUAGACCUAAAAAGGCAUGCCACCCUGAAUGGGAAAGGUUCAUUCCACUGACGAGAGCUUAGUUAAAUAGGUGGAAAUGUGUAAGUGAGUUAGUACAAGUUGUUGGCGCAUUAAAUGCCAAUUUGAGAGGCUCAAAGACUGAGAGGCCUAUAUGAAGAGAUUAAGACAUGAUUUAAUAUGUGGGUCGGACAAUAGAAGAGAAAAAAAGUGAUUGUAUGAGCUGGGCGCUAUUUAGUCUUAAAGCUAAUACAUUAUGAGAAUAUAGUGGCCAUAACCCAAUUUUGAGGGGUGAACCCCUUAUAUCUUUAAGUCCAUUUCAUUUCAGUCCAUAUCCUAAGCUUACCCUAAGGGAUUUAAUUAAGUUUGUUAACCUUACAAUUUUGAACGUUCAAUCCUUUGUCUGGAAGAAUAUCGUUCGUCGAUUCAAAAUUCCACAUACCAUACUCAUAGAUAAUGGACCACAAUUCAUUAUCCUUGAAGUCACAGACUGGUACAAGGAACUUGGCAUUCGCCACUUCACUUCUACUUCGCAAUACAUGCAAGGUAAUGAGCAAGCAGAAGAUUUGGCAUCAUCUAUGGGAAACGCAUAUGAUUUGGUUGUGUAUUCUACGCUGUUAUCUUUGCGCUAUAGUUUAUAGUCCACCUGCAAGAUGACCAAUAGUCUCGAGCCGACACACUGAAGAAGAAGACGAGAAGAGAUGAUUAGGCUAGCCAUUUAUGGCAAGAAGAUGAAUGACAUACUUGCUGGUGUUAGAAAGAUGAAUAAGGUGGGGAGCCUCAUCCAUGCCCAAGACACCUUACUCCAGGAGAAGCAUGAUGACCGCCUAGAACAAAUCAACCAAACGAAUGAGAAGAUUGACAACACAUCUAAGGGAGGGGCUUGUUCUCCUUUUGGGGAUGUUAGAAGCUGGGGGAGGGGGCAAAGAUGCAUGUGAAUCAACAAGAAGCUUAGAGCAGAGGAGGAUGCUUGGGACGAAGGGGCGAGAGUUAUUGAGCAAGCACUAAAAGGCUCGACGGGAACCCUGGUCGGCCCUCUCAACCUGAGAAGCACAUGGAGAGAAGUUAUGGGUAAGAACAUAAAAAAAAGCGUGGGAUCGGCUUGGAGACAUUGAGUGAUUAUAUAUCCAAAUUCAAUAACGAGUUUGCUAGAUGCAUAGGAUGUGAUGAGGCAACAACAGAUAAUGCCCUCAUGUGGGAUUUGUUGGAGGUGAUUUAUACUUUUAUCUGACUUGGAAUCAUCCUGACACUUUCAAGGAUUUGCUGUGUGAAGUAACCACUUACUCUUGGGUCGAACAACUAAACAAGAUGAGAAUACAAAGGCAGUAAGGAUUGAUCGACUGAGCAUGUCGGCUAAAGCCAAGCAGGAAGUUGUGUAUGACCGCUUGCCAAAAAAAAAAGGUAACCCAAAGCAGAUAGUCACCCCGAGCGAUAUAACAAGUACAAAUUAUAUGCCCCCAUGAAUAUGUCUUAGGGGAAGAUGUUCAUUCUUGUGGAGCGUCAACUCCCCACUACUUGAAUGGUGUAACCUAAUUUUCAUGGAUGGAGAGAUAAUACUAGGUAUUGCCAGUAUCACAGAAACCACAACCACUUUACGGACGAUUGCAUAAAUCUCAAGGACGAUAAGAAGUGCUCGUUCAACGAGGAUGACUCACGAAAUACGUAGCUGAUAAAUUGUCAGCCCAGUCGAGCUUUGUUUACGUCGAGUGCCACUGCAAAUUGUGAUCUGGUAGAAAGGAAUGUGAUCUACACUUUGUUUGAAAGAUCUUCACUUUCGAGGAAUUCUAACCGAUCUAGGGGCAGUUUCGCAUACCUACUUGGUCGUAUAUGAUGCUAGUGAUAAAGUUCCCAACCUAUGCAGGGGUAGGAAUGGUCAAAGGCGAUCAAGCGUCGGUAAGGGUGUGAUAUGCGUCAUAAGUAAAAGUGAAGACCGAGGUGACAACCAAGCAAUUUAAACGAAUGUUUGAAGGUCGCCACACCAGAUCCCAGUACUUGUUUAAUGGUCUUGAUCUCCCUGAAUGGACCCUGCAAAGGGCUUGUCGAAUAAAAAGAAAAAAAUUAUUGCAAAAAUUAUGAUAAAGGGGCUGGUCUGGUCUUGUACAUUGUAGUUGCGAUUGCUGGGUUGACAGCCAAAGAGUCUAUGGCUGGUCCAGUUUGGUCAAUAAGGGUUUCUCCAGCUCUAUCUUUUUUAUCCCCGCUCUUCUUAGAGCUGUCGUCAUCAUCCCUAACAUCCAGAUCAUAAUCAAGAUGAGUUAUCUUCACCUUCUUCUAAAACUCCGCAUAGCCUUAGAAGUGAGUUUGUUGGUAAGCUUUUGGCCGGCUACCGUUUGGAGGUAGUUGUCUAUAUAUCCUGACUGCCGAUAUGGGAGGAUUCAUCCAAGCCCUUUACUACUCGUUCUCCUUCCUAAAGGCCCGAGCAGUAUCUUCAACUUAUCCCUAGCUCUAGAAGCUUGGAGUUUCUUUGUGGCAGCUUCGCUCAUCUACCACCCCAGGUGCUGGUUCCUUUACUUCAGCCAAACACUUUUCUUUUUUACCGUCUUAACUGUCGUCUUGGCGACCCCAAGCUUUGUCUUUUUAGUUUCCAAGGCAUCCUGAAGCCUCCUAGGUCUCGCUCGAGUUAAACACUCAGCUUAUUUUUAGAGAAUCGGUGUCAGAUCAUUUGGAAUUGAGCAAAGAGAGCAUGUACAGGAAAAAUACUACGAAAAUUAACCAACAAAAGAACGUUUCGUAAGCAUAAGGAAGUGAAAUGGGAAGAAGAACUUCAGCCGGUAGAUCAAAGGCAAUGGCAAAUUGUUUGUGGGCGUUCCCCUUUGUGCACCCUUAAUUCAUCCACGAUGUUCGCUCCCCGAAGGAUCUUCUUGCAAAUCUUCAUGAAGGAGUCGAUAUUUUGGGGUGAGGCAUCUCUUGAGCGAGAUACCAUUAUGGCGAUCUAAGUUGGCCAGUCUCCUAAUAACUGGGGCUUCUGGCUCAUUUCUAGCUAGCGCUUGAUCGAGGAUUUGCUUCUGCUAGCGCUUAGAAUGGUUUGCACCGACGAAGAAGGCCUUGAUCGCUGAGCUGAAUGCCUGACCUACUUUCUUUCCCUCAUAGCUCGGCGGGUAAUCUGCUUGCAAAGUAUAAAUUAGUUAGAAGUGAGUCCAUUCAGACCAGGGACAAAUAUUGAGAGAUCAUGCAAUUUACCUCUUAGAAGGACAACCGGUUGUAAACAGGAGUCGGUUAUGAUAACGCUAGUGGAAAUUUCUCUAGAAGACAAAUAAGUGAUGACAACCAACUGAAGCUAUUCCUCUUCGGAGCCCAAAACAGUCAAUUGCAAAGAAAAAAAAGGGAAAUUGUAUUUAAGUUAACAUACUACGAGACACUAAGAUAUGAAAGAGGCAAACUAUGUUGUUACAAGCUUUAUUCUUAAAGCACCUAACAACCUGAGCGUCUAUUGCUUCUACCUUAGCUGGGUUUUCCCAGUUGCAACUCAUAAGGAAGCAUUUAUCCUUGUAGGGUUGUUGAUUUGAUGGGUUAUCGGUAAAUAGUAAACAAGAGCUGAGCACGUGGUAGAAUCAAGCCUGGCCAAGACUGUUUUGUAGUUUAUAGUAGUUUUGGAUAAGGGCAAGGUGAUGGUCGAUUUUGAAAAAUUGGUGUGGGUUAUCACACGGUAGAGGAAGGGGUGCAAAGGAAUGCCAGAUUUGAAAAACUCAGCAGAAAAGGCCAUUCAGUCAUGUAGUGGUUGGCUAGGUUUUUCCCUCGAAUCGGGGUUGGGAAUAUGACAUUAAAAGGGAUGCUAUACUAACGUCUUAACUCUUCUAACUAAGCACCUGUGACCGAACCUGAGACUUGUAAUGCGCAUUGCUCGGAUGCAUUGGGCAAGCCUACACCUCCCAUUUGGUGAGGUUUAUCAAGUCAACAUAGUGCUCCAAUAGUCUAUCGGGUUUAUCGGGCAUUCCUCAAGAACAGACGCAGUAGGAGAAUUCGUCAAGUCCACUAUUGGCAGUUAGGUUUGUGGCCGAUGAGGAGGAAUAAAGGACGACCCAAUCAAAGGCUCAUCAAGCGUCUAGAAAGAAUUGACAAAAUUGGUGGAGUUGGCCGUUUCGCUACUAACUGACUGAUCUUUAAUUAUGCCAUUAUGAUACGCAACAGAACGAUCGGCCAAUUAAAAGAUAAUCAAUAUCAGAUUUGGUUCUCCUUAACCCAAUCGCCAAAAAUAGUAUAAGACAUUAAAUUAAUAAUACUAGCUUGUCCAGUAAAAUUGCACUGCAUUGUUCCGUUAGAAUCACUUUCUCGAAGUCCACAAGUUUCUUCUUGUACAACAUAUCCUUCAAAAAAAUUGCAUAUGAAGGAAUCAUCUUUAUAGCAUCCAACAUGUUGAUUUAAACAUUCAUCAAUGGUUGCAUGAAGUCCUUCAAUUGAUGAUCUUUGAAAUUCGAUUUUAACCUCU